UCGCGCCGCGGCGGCGGGACGGCGCGCGCGCCGGGGCCGGGCCCGGGCGGCGGCGGGAGCAGCGCGAGCAGCGCGAGGCAGGCGCGCGACAGCAGCCGCAGCAGCAGCGCGAGCCACCGCUCCGCGCGCGACAGCGCCAUGGCACCGGCCGCACCGCUGCGCGCGCCGCGCCCCGCCCCCGGGGCCGCGCGGAAGUGACGGCGUCUCCAUGGCGACCGCGCCCCGCCCCGCCCGCGGCCUGUGCGCCGGGCCCGCGACCGGCGCCGCCUGAGACGGGGGGGCCGCGCCGGCCCGUACCUUCCCCCGGGGAGCGUAGCGCUGCCCCGCGGUGGAGCCGGGGGGCACCCACUCUGCCCGUCCCGGGUCGUCCCGCCCCUCCGCUCCGGAAUUACCCCCAAUGGUUUCCAUAUUACCAAAGGCUUAAAAAACCCACAGCGGGUUAGCAAGGACGCGCAGAAAGCUGGAGUGGUUUUGCCGACUGUGUCGGAUGCGUGUUGUAACCGCCAGUUAACCCGAGCUGUGCUGGCGCGAGGGGACAGCGGCGCUCCCGACGUGCGGACUGUGCGGGGACAGCGAAACCCGCCCCGGGAAGGGGCUGCAGUGACAGCCUCACCUGGGCAGGUGCGGCGGCAGCCUGCGGGGUGCUGAGCCCGGCACCUCUGGGUGCAUCCCGGAGGUUCUGGGGCUGAUCCCGGCACCAUUGGGCACAUCCCUGGAGCACUGGGGCCGAGCCCAGCACCGCCGGGUGCACCCGCAGUGCCCUUGGGCUGCCCUGCUGGUCUGUGGAGGAGACACUUCCCUUUCCUGCAGAGGUUGUCUGUCCACAUCCAAAAACCUGUCCUCAGGGUCAGGCUGUGCACACAAACAUGCUUGUGGGGUGUUACCGACCUAUGGGGCAUUAACACCGAUCAGUUUAAAGUUGACACCUAAUUAUAACGUUCUUCUGCGUUUUAAACACCAAGCCUCAUUCUCAAGCUUUCUAAUAAAAGGCAACCAUUAUCACACUUAUUGUCAAACAUACACUGAGGUUUUCAGGUGCUUGAUUAUGGAAUCUGGAAGAGACUGGAUAAUACUCAAACCUCAGGACAAAAGUUACAAGAACUGGUAGUGCUGGGGGGGGGGGGGAAAUCCUGUCUUUUAAAGCAAGGAUUUAAGCAGCAUCUGAGUGGGCCUUACUGUAUCUCUUCCCUUCCACAGAGUUGGCGAUUGAAUUAUCAGUGCAAAGUGGGGCAGGCGAGGGGAUACGUUCCUUGUGAAAAUCUUUUACAACUGCAAAAUCAACACAUCAGCAUUUAUGGGACAAUCUACAGCUAACACGCCCUGGGAGGGCAUCGACUGACCUCUGUCCCCUAAAACCUAAGCUUAUAUGGAAGUCAUCCUGAUAGCAGUUCUAUUUUCACAAACUCUUAUCAAAGAACUUUUCUCCUUGCUUGAUGCAAAUGGAGGAAAGGAAAGAAGAGAAGGGAAGGGGAAAAGCCGCUUUCCUGCUUGGGGUUAGUUUCCUGUACCCUGGGAAAGCACGGACAGCAGCUUUGUCUGCCUGGGUUUGGUCACCAGGUCAUCAGCCUGAGGGGCUCCCAGCUGUAAAAGGUUGGGGUGUCCUGUGCUCUCUCAAGGACAAGGGAAACUCUUGUCCUCUGCUGAUUUUAAUUCCUCAGUGUCUUCGUUUCCCUUGGCAGGUUGUCCCUGACCACAGACACCAGCCAGCCCGGGGGCAGGUCCCAGCAGUGCUGUGCUUGAUGGCUGAUGGUGCACAGGUGGCUUAACAGCUGCUUUUCCACUGCUCUGAAACUGCUGGAAUGCCUAUGACCUUACCAAGGCCCUUAGCUCACAGAGGCCCAGAGUCCCCUGCUGAGGAGCAGUGGUAAGUCAGGGUUUGCCAAAUCUCGGGCAGUGUUGGUGGUUGCAUCUUCGGCUUUGCCAGGCCCAGAGCCAGGCAUGGCAAGGCUCCCUUGGAACUCAGAGGUAAGUCAGGUGUCCUGCAGGUUUCUUCCAGAGCUAGAAUGGUAAAACUCCUCUCAAUGGAGAAGGGAGAGGACAGCCCUCCCAAAUGUAAUCCCAGCACUGCUUUUGUCAGUUUUUUCCUCCAUUUCUCAGUGGAUUUGCUGGUACUUCCCCCUCAAGUCCUUUCCAAAUGUUGGCAGAGAGGGGUAUGAACCAAGCCACUUCUGUCCUGGGUCUCUGCUUCCUUGGUGCUCUGCAGAGACCUUCCCUAAACUCUGGCGUUUAUUUUCCGAGGAAAGUGUCUCCCUUAAUCUUUGUCUUUCAGGGUUUAAAGAACAGGGCUUUGAAAUUCACACCGGAUCAGCUGCUAGUGGGCUAGAAGGUGCUCUAAAAAUAAAGCAAUAAGGUCCGGAAGCCUGAGGUUGAAGUGAUUGGCACUGCUUUUCAGUUACCAGCUGACAGAGCUGACACCACCCUGGCUAAGAAACCAGUUAAUUCCAAACUGAUUGCCAAGAGCAUGGGGGCUGGAAAUGCAGAGUAAAGCUCACCCAUCCAGACCUGUCCCACUGCCUUAUCCUAAGGGACACCAGCUGCUUAGAAGAAAAACACGAUCCCAGGUCUUACACUCCGGAAAUUAUCCCCAGUCAUUUCAUCAUUACUGAAGGCUUAAGAAACCAGAAGCAGUUAGCAAGGACAGACAGAAAGCUGGAGUGGUUUUGCCGACUGUGUGGAUGCGUGUUGUAACCACUAAUUGCCUGGGAAGCCACGGAACAGGCUCGGCAGCAGAGCAUGAGGCGAGUGGGAAGAAGAGCCACAGUCUGGCUGCCUUCACGGUGCUCUCCAAAGCUCUCUUGGAUCUUGUCACCACUGGACAAGAAACACCUUUCAUGAAAUUAAAAGAAGAGAAAGAGCCUGACAGCACAAUUCUUUGUGAAAGGAGCCCUUUGAAACUUCUCCUUAAAAUAAAGCUUCAGAAGAAA